GCGAGCCACCACCACCACGAAAGCAGGCAGCGCAGCAACGUGGGGGGCGUCGCCGCUUUCAGCGCUUCGUCGACGGCUUGACGCACGCACGCACGCUUCGCGGCCCUCGGCUAGAGAGAGACGCGUGCACGCGACGCGAUGAAGCCCUUGCUGCUCACGCCGGCCGCGCGGCUCGCGGCCGCGCGACUGCGACACCUACAAAGCUGCCGCCACCGUGCCGUCCAUGCGCACGCCGCCUCCUCCUACUCGGGCGGCUCCAACCGCGCCUCGUUCCCUCUCCGCAGUUCCGGCCGCGGUUUCCGCGGCGGCCGCCUCGUCGCAUCCUCCUCCUCCUCCUCCCAGAUGGCGGCGCCUGCCGAUGCACCGGGCGGAUCCGCGGACGCGUUCGAGGUGAUCCGCGCUCACCAGGAAAAAGCUGCUCGACUUCCUCCAGUUGAAGAAAUACGGACCAUUCUAGACCGAAGUGUUAGGGGUGUCCUUGCCACCCAUUCUCAGGAGCAUGUUGGCUAUCCAUCUGGCUCAAUGGUCGAUUUUGCAUGUGAUCAGGAUGGUUCCCCCAUAGUAGCAGUUAGUAGUUUAGCCAUUCACUCGAAGAAUCUCUCUGGAAGUCCUAAAUGUUCGCUUCUGGUUGCCAAAGAUCCUGAGGACAGAACAGAUACUGUAAUUACUGUAUACGGUGAUGCCACGCCUGUUUCGGACCAAGACAAGGACGCAGUGCGAAGUGCAUACUUGCGACGACAUCCCGAGGCAUUUUGGGUUGAUUUUGGUGAUUUUCGUUUUCUUCACAUCAAGCCAAAAGCUGUGCGCUAUGUGUCUGGGGUUGCGACCGCUAUCCUUGGUUCUGGAGAAUUCACUGCUACUGAGUUCAAGGAAGCAAAAGUUGACCCAAUAUCUCAAUUCUCAACCCCUAUUACGAGCCACAUGAAUAAGGAUCAUUCUGAUGAUACAAAGCUCAUUGUGCAACAUUCAACCACUGUCAAGGUGGACUUUGCUUACAUGCUUGAUGUGGAUAGUCUUGGUUUCAAUGUGAAGGCUGGUUAUGAUGGAAGUGUUUUGAAGCUGCGAAUCCCCUUCCCUAGGCGUGCACAGGACAGGAAGGGUGUUAAGGCACUUAUUGUGGAAAUGCUCCAAGCUGCAAAAGCCUCCUCCUCCUCUGCUGAAUGAUGUCUUGCUCCACUUCGCAUUAGUUCAACUUCAAGAUGGACAUUUCAUGCUUCGGUAUCCCACGCAUCAAGGUCUUAUGUUUUCUCUUUACAUUUUUAACAAUUAUGCACCAGUAGUGUGAGUGCUGCUACAAAGACUACAACUACAUGCGGAGAUGUCAUGAAGAUGCAUAGAGACAUCAAACUGAAACUGUCGUAAAGGACCCGAAGCUCCAUCAAAAGUGAUCAGGAUCCAGCAUUCCUUGGAACUACCUCAGUCCAGAAUGUUAGGGAUUUAUAGAACAUAGCAAUGUUUUCAGCACCAGACAACUAUGUUAAAUUCAAAGAUGAAAUUAAUUUGGUGUUACAGCUGUUGCUA